UACGGGGGGAGCAAGCGUUGUUCGGAUUUACUGGGCGUAAAGGACGCGUAGGCGGCGCAACAAGUCACUUGUGAAAUCUCCGGGCUUAACCCGGAGCGGCCAAGUGAUACUGUCGUGCUAGAGUGCGGAAGGGGCUACUGGAAUUCUCGGUGUAGCGGUGAAAUGCGUAGAUAUCGAGAGGACCACCUGCGGCGAAGGCGGGUAGCUGGGCCGACACUGACGCUGAGGCGCGAAAGCGUGGGGAGCGAACAGG
rnacentral:rRNA from 1 species